UCGGCGCCUAUCACAAUAAGCACGAUCGCGUUCAUACAGCUGCGAGAGAGCGAGAGCUGCUGGCCACCGAGAAAUGACAUAGAAACAACCACCAAAAAAUAGCUAAGCCAAUGACAAAUAGCGACCCGGGUGACAGAGACAGAGAAUUUUGUAGGCGGAGAAGAGGAGGUGAAUGGCCAGCUCUGAUCACAGUAUUAGGCUGGGCUAUCUAUGGGGAGGGUAUUUACUCGGUUUUUGGGGUGUGUGGGAGGAGAGGAAAAACACCUACAAAUAGCUGGCACGAUUCAAAUGGUCUCGGAUUAUGUUUCCCCCCCUCCAGUCCAGGAAGGAAACUCGCGUUAUAACGCUACGAGGGGAAAAAAUAGCUCUGUGCAAUAGGGGAUGAAGAGCACUUUGGUCAUUCGUUAAUACCCAAAGGGGCAGAGAUGAUAAAUGUGACAGCAUGUGGCAGCACGACCGUCACCCGGGCUCCUGCAAAAGGCGGCUCCGUAUCGCGACACGGGAAAUUAAGCGAUUGAGUGGGAGGUGGAGAAAGCGCUUAAACGGAGAAGUUAAUCUGCUAACAUGGAGAGGAAACAAACGGAGAAAAAAAACCCGAAGCCACUGCUACAGUGCAAAACACCAAGCUUUUGGCCUCAAAAAGCCUAGGCCAUCAUGGCUACGAAAACUACUGCUGCUCAGAGACCAUGUAAUUCUGGAGCUCCUUAAGGAAAAAAUAGUGCGAUGCAACAUCAGAACAGUGGCCAAGUUAUCUUCUCCACAGCAGCCAUGAACUUCAAUCUUGAACUGAAGAAUACUCAUCAAAUGCCUAAGGAAAGACAGUAUGGAGUUGGAAGAGAAGCAUGGAUCUCCAUGAAGGGCAGUCAGUUAUAGUCAUGGUCAGCAUGCUUGGUUGGUCUGCCACUCGACACGUGUAGCUCAGAGCUGGCCACAAUGUGAGCUGCUUCCUGUUCUCCUAAACAUCAGAAGCUGAAAUUUAGAGAAAUCUGUUUAGAAGAGACUGAGAAAACAGCCAGGCUAGCUCAGUACAAGUGUGUUGGUGGCACCUGUAAGCAUGCAGGUGUGUGGAAGAACAGGUCCUGUUCUCGCUGUUGUUACUCCCACAUAGGCAGACUCUGUAAUUGAUUAUGUGUGGGUAGGGCCCUAUUGAAAUUCAGGAGAUUCUGCAGUAGUGCGGGGUUCUUUUUGUGAGAGUUCAGUUGCAAGAUCAGGACCCUACUGUGACUCCUUACUGUGCAUUCUGUCACUGUCUCAUUGGUUGUACUGGAACCUGCCUGUUGGGAUAAUUACCAAAUACUAUAUUCCUCAAAACUUCUUAAUGGCACUGAGGCUUUGUGGAUAGUUGGUCACAUGAUGAGAAAAUUCAGCUGUAAGUACAUUAAAAUGAUUGACUUUUUCAAUAGUUAGUCUUUACUGAUGUUGGCAAACUAAUAGUGAUAAAAAUGUGAAUCAAGAGGUUUGACUUAUGUCAAAUUACUUCAGUUCUUUUUAGAAAAUAUAUAGAGUAUACCCAUUAAGGACCUUAUUAUUCUUAGGUAAUUCACCAUGGGACCCUGAAGUUCUUCCCUACUGCAAUUAGGUAGGGAGUUGAGAGUUGUUUGUUUUCUUUAUUUUCAGAAUGGUGUGUCUCUGACUUGCUCUGUGUUUUGAUGGAUAAACUUUUUGAAAUUUAUUGAUCUAUAAAACUUGUUUAUAGCACUAAUAUUUGUAUAGAUAUUGCAAACUGAUUUACUAACGUAAUUGUCUUGCUGGGUUGAAUACUGAAAUGUUAAUAAAUAUACACUUAUAUUUGUGUCAGUGUACCUUGGUUAAAUUAAACUGAGCUGGCAUUAUGAGUGAAUUUGAUCAUACAUGCUGAUUAGCUAUAGUCUUAGGCAGGGACUACAUAUUACCCAUAUCAUAUGUCAGUGGAUUCACCCAAAAAUAGCUAUAAAUAUCUAUGCUUGGCUUAAGGAGGAAGUUCUUGUCCUGUAGUUAUGGGUACAGUCAUUGCUUUGACUCCUGUUUUUAUAUACAAAUGAGCAAAGACUACAUGUAGGUGCUUUCCCUGUAUAACAAAAGGGGCAUUGUAAACUCUGUGCCCUUUUUUAUGAUGUUGUAUUUCCUUUCUGGUAUUUAAAUUCAAGGAUGUUUUCAGCUGUGUCUUAAUCCAAAAAAAAAAAAAAGGAAGACCUGGAAAUGUUACUGAAUUUGUGGAUAAUUACCAAGGGGCUGUAAAGGUCUGGAGGAAUUGUGUGUAGGGACAAUUAGAGAUUCUUUCUCAUGAAGCAAGGACACAGAUAAUAAUUGAUGAGUAAAGGUUAAGGAGCACAGGAUUAUUUUUAUUGCUUGGCACAAGAGCAGCAUGAAAUGAAAGUAAUUUGAAGAAAGAGCACGACCAAAAGAGAAAUAGCUACUGGUAUUUUUCAUUGCACUGAAUAUAUGAUUGAUUUAAGCUUAAGAUUUUCAGUAAAUGCUUUUCUUGAAGUUUUUGGUUUUCUUCUGCUGGAGAGGAGUAGAAGAACUUCGAAGUGUUAAAGAAGACUCAGUGACUACUUGUGAAUUACAGUGUGAGUUGGGGAUUCAAGAUGACAGUUACAAUUAAGAAGAGAAGACAAUGGGUUGCUAUAUAAAAUUAGUGCCAAGCAGAAGCCUUAAUUUCUUGUUCAAACACAAAACUUAAUGAUUUUGAAAUGUAUCACCUUCAACAGCACUCAAACCACAAUUUUAUUAUGUUAAUUACAGGAUGGGUAUUUUCAGAGUUCUCAUUUAAAAACUUGAACAUUUAUUCUUUUGAGAUUUUGCAAUAUAAAAUGAAAUUGAGAUUUUUCAAUAUGAAGCGAAAUCAUGAUUUCAUUUCAGAAACUGAAAUGUUUCAGAACACUGAAUGUUUCAUUUUGCAUAAAAAAUCCUGAACAGUGUAUUUUCUUUUUAAAAUGUGUAGAGACCUAAAUGUUUGCCAUUCUCACCUUUUAAUCCUACUGGCCAUAUAUAUUUUUUACUUGCAGUAAGUUGGGUGAAAGAAAGGAAAGCAGAAUUAGAUUAGGUGAUUGCAAAAAACCCCUAAACACAGCCUUCUAGCUGAGCCUCUAGACCAAAAGUGCCUCAGAACAGAUCUAAUUUCAGAGGAGGAAGGGAAGGAAAGUGAUAUGCCAGUGAGUGGGUAUGGGGAAUCCUCUGCAUGUGUCAUCUCUGUCUGAUUUUUUCUCUCAUCACCACUGAGAGGCAGAUCACCUGGGUGUGACUGCUUCCCCUUCCUGUGAUUGCAACUUCCCAGUACUUUGAGGGAGAUAAUGGUGGGGCAUAGCUCUGUUCUGCCUGCAGCAGCACUGCUACCAAUGUUUGGAAGAGAAGAAACUCUGAAUUAUCUCCUGCUGUAACCAGCUCUCCAAUACUCACUGCUGCUUAGCCCUGCUGUUAAGUACCUGAUCUGAUGGUCUCUUUCAUUUAACUCAUGCCAUGAUGCUAUAAAUGAGUGAAACGAGGACCAAAGCAAGGAAAUGGAUAUCAAGAGAAGGAGAUGAUGUUUUGGAAUGUAGGGAGUGGGCAUUUGCUGCACAGCUACACUUUGUCCCCUCUUGAGAAUACCUCAAGAGCUGGAAUGCCAAACUACAGCAACAGAGCUCAUCAGGACUACUUCUACCUGAUACCUCUCCUUCAGUACCAAGAGGUUGACCCUGGUUUUGAUCAACAUAUGAUGCCUACUUCCUUCAUUCAGUCAUUGAAUUUUCAGACCACACUGAAUAUUUUCUCCUCAGCUGCCUCUCAUGUACUCAUUGACUUCUUCAUAAAUAGAAGUGUUCAUUAUCUUCCCUCUAUUUUUUUCUUGAAAGUUUUAUGCACUGUGAAGCUUUAAGCAAUCCAACUGGACAACAGUUAUACUGUGGGUACAUAGGCGCUAAUGCCUAUCACAGUAGUACUGUGUAAUUGCAUUUGGACUCUGCCAUAACCCCUCUGUUGCCACUUUAUGUAGAAUUUAAGUAUAUCUAUAUUUUGUUGUGUGUUUAUUCAUGGCCCAGUGUAAUACAAAAUGGCCCAUGGUGAGACCUUCCAAGAUUUAUGGUAUUACAGAUAAAUAAUAAUGAAUAUGCACUGGAUGCUGCAGCAUAGCUGUUGGAUUCUGUUGUGCCUAAUGCCAUGUCAGAAUUUAAUGCAGAAAGAAGGUGCUCCAACCAGAGGCCUCACAAAAGGAAAAUAAGUGAGUUGCAGCCAAUAGAAAAAAUGCUAGCCCCAGAGGCCUUCUCAGCUGUCAAACUCAAGUCUGUAGCUACUGCCAUUGUGUCCUGAAAACUUCCCUCUCCCUCUCCCUCUCCCUCUCCCUCUCCCUCUCCUCCCUUCUCGUAUAAGGAAGUAAAUGCAAAUAUCACAAUGGUCUGCAGUGUAUGCAGAAGGUCUUCUUACUUUUGUAGCAAACUUCAUUUCAUUCCUGACACAGCAUCUCUUGGUACAGAAGUCUUUAAUAACCACAAUUGUGCCAUUCAUCAGUCCUUUUUUCAAGUGCCAUUUGGUCUCUGUUGGGAAGGAACCUACACUGGUUUUCAUUUGGUAUCUUUAUUAGGUAUGUCCCUAUCUCAUGAUGCUCCGCUUCCAUUGUGCUUCAAAAGUAAUGAGCCUUCAGAGAAGUGGUAAGGAUUAAUAAAUUUGGAAUUCCCCAGGCAUGUCACCCUCUUCCUGUAAGUGGGUCUGCAUGUAACUUCUUCUUUUAAAAGCACCCUGAAAUGUCAGUGUUUAGAUUGUACAGAGAUGAUGGAACGUUGAGUGCCUGGCUGAUUACGGAGAUGGUAGAUUGGACUGUGCAGACAAAUGGUGCAGUAUGUACCAAAGAAAAUAUAGUCCAAUAGACUAAUUUUAUCAGAAUAAGCCACAAAUUGUAGUUCUAUAUGGUUCUAUGGCUGAGUAGGAGAACUUUAGUAAGAGCUCUGGGCUAGUUGGAGAGAUGGAGGUGAAAUUGCUGUGAAAUACUGUGGGAGCCUGGGGAGUCUGUACAACCCAAAAGCUUGAUCCUAGCAACAAUUCUUGGUUAUAUAUGUAUAGACUGGAUAAACUGAAUGUUAGGCCUCAUUAGGCCAUCAUGCACAGGCUGCUAUUUAGAUAUCAUUGAGCACUAAUUUUUGAGCAAACAAGAUAGAGAAUCUAGAAGGAGAAAGACAGCCCUUGAUUUAGUCUAGAUCAACAUGCAACAAGUGACAGUGGAGGAACCAUUCAGUAGCGAGAUAUCAUACUCAAGUUUGUCGUACUUGUCAGAGAAAAACAGCUUAAAAUAAAUUUUUUUAAAAGUCCAGUCUUGUUUAA